rnacentral:rRNA from 1 species
GUAGAUAUCCAGGAGGAACCCCCGUGGGGAAGGCGACCACCUGGACGAACACUGACGCUGAGGCGCGAAAGCGUGGGGAGCAAACAGGAUUAGAUACCCCUGGUAGUCCACACCGUAAACGAUGGGUACUAGGUGUUGGCGGGUAUUGACCCCUGCCAGUGCCGACGCUAACGCAUUAAGUACCCCGCCUGGGAAGUACGGCCGCAAGGCUAAAACUGCAAAGGAAUUGACGGGGGCCCGCACAAGCGGUGGAGCAUGUGGUUCAAUUCGACGCAACGCGAAGAACCUUACCCGGGUUUGACAUUGAUGGAAUCCCUGUAGAGAUACGGGAGUGCCCUUCGGGGCCCAGAAAACAGGUGCUGCAUGGCUGUCGUCAGCUCGUGUCGUGAGAUGUUGGGUUAAGUCCCGCAACGAGCGCAACCCCCGCUGCUAGUUGCCAUCAGGUAAUGCUGGGCACUCUAGCGGACUGCCGGUGUCAAGCCGGAGGAAGGUGGGGAUGACGUCAAGUCCUCAUGGCCUUUAUGGCCCGGGGC